UAAACACACUUGAUCUCAUCAGAUCUCAAGAGCUAAGCA
rnacentral:rRNA from 1 species